rnacentral:lncRNA from 1 species
CUCUCUGCAGGUGCUGCUAUCACCACAGAGCAGCCCGAUUGCGGCUGGCGUGUGCCUGAGCUGGCUGUCCCUCUGGCCACAUGUCCGGUGCUACAGGGUCUUCAAGGGUGUGUGGGGCUGGGCAGCAUCCGCCAGGCCCAGGCCCCGGGAACUGAAGGUGUUUCCUCCACGUCAGCCUCUGCACCUCCUAAGCACACACCUGCUGCAGGUGCCGGGAGUCAGUGCCUGAGACACCUGAGGACGCCUCCUCCUUGAAGGCUGGAGUCGACUGACUGCAUCUUGUACUGAUUUUGCGGGGAUUUCUGGUCUUUUUUAUCCAAUGCACGCUGGUCCCCGCCGCUGCUGGAGUGAGGCUGGUUGUCUCUGAGUGGGCUCUGCACCCUCACAGCAGGCAUCCUGACCCCUUUCUUUCCCACUCCAAGCUCACAUGCUGGAUCCCGCACCACAGACAGCCCCGAGGCCGCGCUCACAAGACCAGAUGGCCAGCUCGCCAUUUCUACCUUUCGGUGUCCAGGAGUUUUUCUUUUGUCUUUACUUGUUUAUUGAGGAAUGAAGAGUCAAUGAAGACUGAUCAAGACACUGCCUUGAAAGGGUUUCAUGGGCAAAGAACAAAAGCAAAUCAAAGGGUUCAUCCAGGCAAGGGGCUGACGCUCUUCCCCUGUUGGGGAGGAGGAACAGAUGAGGGCGGGGAGGACACAGCCCAGGACUCACAAGGCCCUGCCGUCCACAUUUCCUGAGAACUGCGAAGCAUCGUGCAGCCACGAGUUUCCCCAGACACCAGCACCCAUCCCCAGGCCUGCGGGUCAGUGAUUCUAGCUCAUCUGAUGGGCCGUCCAUAGGGAAGGGAUGGGCCCGCAGACCUGCCUGUUUGGUUGAUUGAAGUGGGACCUCUUUCACGACGAACGCCAGAUUGAAAUUCAUCACAGCAAAUGCCUAAGUUUGGAGAACAAUAUAUUUAUAGUGAGCUGAUUAGAUAUCAGAUGCACCUUUUCUCAACAAGUCGUUCUCUCACCCGUCUGAUUUCUAACCUCCUGAAGAGCAAAACCUGUCACCGACCCAGGAGCAGCAGGCAGAAGAGAAAUUCCAAAACAUCCUGAAGAGCAAGAGGCUCUGUGGAAAAUACCAGGGCUUGUGCAGGCGGGGGAGCUCACCGCCCUGGGCCAGAAGCCCCUCACCUGGAGGCAGCGGGUGCUGCCCUGAGUCAGGGCCCACAGGAGGCUUCUGGGCACAGACACACCCUGCAGAGAGGGUCCUGCUGGAACGCUUUGACAUUUCUAGGAUCUGGACUGUCCACGGGGAGAGACCAGGAGGGCAUGAGAAAUACGCUGAGUUGGGGCCGGGUGCAGUGGCUCAUGCCUGUCAUCCUAGCACUUUGGGAGGCCAAGACGGGUGGAUCACAUGAGGCUAGGAGUUUGAGACCAGCUUGGCCAGCAUGAUGAAACCCCGUAUCUACUAAAAAUACAAAUAUUAGCUGGGCUUGAUGGUGCACACCUGUAGUCCCAGCUACUUGGGAGGCUGAAGCAGGAGAAUCACUUGAACUUGGGAGGCUGAGGCAGGAGAAUCACUUGAACUUGGGAGGCUGAGGCAGGAGAAUCACUUGAACCCAGGAGGCGGAGGAGGUUGCAGUGAGCAGAAAUCGUGCCACUGCUCUCCAGCCUGGGCUACAGAGUAAGACUCUGUCUCAAAAAGAAAAAAAAAAAGAAACACACUGAGUUGGAACUCACUAUAUCACAAACAUUGAGGCCUACUUGCAUAACACAGUUGUUCCAAGCAACAAAUGUCACCAAAUGCACGCACUGUCGCCCAGUGUGACGUUUCUAAGGUGAAUGCACAAUGCGAGGACAUGGAAGCCUGGAGGAUGCGGGAAAGGCGCGUGUGGCCUGUGCUGGGCACCUCCCAUCAGCCAGAUGCACCUGCGCUCCUGGAGGAUGUAGGAAAGGGGCAUGUGGCCUGUGCUGGGCACCUCCCGUCAGCCAGACGCUCCUGCACUCCCACCCCGGCCAUUCCCUUUCCUUUCUUCCGCCAACUCUUCACAUAGCCCAUGAUUUUGGGGGGAAGAAUUAUUUACCAAAUUUUUAAAUCCAUUUUUUCUUCCUCAAUCUAGACUAAUUUCUCAGGUCUGAGGCCUGGAAAGCUUUAUUCCCCAGGCCACUGAACUGCCCUCCUGGAGAGCGGGCCAGUGCUAUGAUUGCCUCUGAGGCCGUUUGAACCUGGAGCUCCCUUUCCUCUCCUACUAAAAUCCAGAAGAACGAGAGGUAAAUAAACAAGGCUCUCCCAGACAGCAUGGGGCAAUGAGCCUGUUUCCUGAAGUCCCAGUGGCCACACAGCUGAACCUUGCAAACUUCUUAUCAAACUCUCAGCCCAAGAACAAUUAGCCAGGAUCAACACCCCAGCAAAGGUCAUUUGGGUUUGGAUUACAAAUUGCCAUCACCUCAGAGAAGAGGAGAGGGGAUCUGUUUGAGAAGAAUGUUUCUCUGCAGCUAAGGAUUAGCAGGCAUCCACAAGCCCGCCCUGCAGAGAUCUUCGAAAGAUGGCUUGGCAUCUUCUUCCGAGCAAGCGCAGCUCUCAGGCCGGGCCUGAGCCUGCAGCCUGUGUGCCCUCCAUCAUCAGGGCCCCCUCUCAGGACAGGCUACACCGAGGGUGGGACGGCGGACUUCCAGGGACACUUCCAAGUCGUGCCCAUGCAGAUACCUCAGUAUACACUGCCCACAGUUAAGAAACCACGACCUGAGACAUUGUUUUGAAGAGGUGAAAAUGCCUCCACUCAAGUGGCCCAGGAGCGUGAUCCAGGAAGACGAACACACAGAACCAUCUUCUGCAUGGUUUGAAAAUUCAGUGGAAACUAGUAAUGCCUAUGCGGGUUCACUGAUGAGAGGGCCCUAUGAGCCAUCCAGAGAAAAGCUGCCAUAUUUCCCUUCCAGAAGACCUGCUUGCAGGCCUUGAAUUUUGAGAGUGUGGGGAAAGCAGUCAAGCCCGCGCGGAGCGAUUGUGAGGGGCUCUGCUGGAAUUUGGCAGCGCGGAGGCUUGGAGAGAAGCCCCAUGCUGGCUCCCAUUCAGCCGGCCCGUUUUCCUCGAGCUUUGGAAGUUUCACUCAGCCGUGCACUCAAUGGCUUCACAAAGCUGAUUACAAGCUUCAGCGCAUUCCUGAAGGAGCCAAAAGCGACGCAGGUGCAAACGAGCCGAGGGAGCCCCUUAUCCCGGUGACAGAAUGGGACAAGCUGGGAAAGGCUUAGACCACACAAGUCCAAGGCUCACCAGGCCGCAGAAAGCCUGCCUUGGGAACCGGGGGUCAUUAUCCGCCCUAUUCAGCGGGGCCCGGGGACCCUGGGGGCCGAGCGAGGCCAGCCCGGGCGGGAGCACCGCCGCCAGCGCGCGCCGGCGACAGGGGGGAACCCCGCUGGGCGCUGCGGCCAGGCCGGGGCUCAGGGCGCUGGGCUGUGCGUUUGCACAAAUCUGUGUUCCGGCGGGCCGGUGUCAACCCUAGUGGGGACACGGGAGAAAGAGCACGCCAGUAGGCCACGCGGCGCGUGGGCAGUGCGCAACUUCUGUCGGCGUCCAGGCUGUACGGCCACGUUUCAGCCGGUGCCCCCAGGCCAUGGACACCCAGCUCCAGGGUCGCUCUGCGCCCUUUCUCCCCAGCCCACCUUUCCCAUUGGUCCCCUCUCCUGUCCGAGUGGCAGCGCGGCCCCGCAGGGAGCGACCCCGGGAGGGACAGUGACCGCACGCGUGGAGUGGGGACGGCGGGGCACAGGACGGUAGUCUAAGAGUGUUCGCAUGGCCGAGGACGCUUUCGCUGCGAGUUUGGGGUCGAGGGGCAGUUCCCUCCCGGAGUCAUUAACUUCGUCUCCUCGUGCUCAGGGACCAGCAACUUGGUGCUGCGGGCGCCAGAAAGAAAAGGGUAGCGCCUCGCGGAGCGCGCGGGGGAAGAGGGACUGCGGCAGCGGGACGCGAGGGCGGGAGGGGCGCAGCAGCGGGGAGCCGGAGCGCAGCGGAGGGGAGCGCUGGGGGGCGGGGAGCGCUCGGGCAGCCACCCUGUCCCCGUCUGGAGCCCCGCGCUGCGUCUAGGAGGGCGCAACACGCAGUCCCCGCGGGGGCCAGAGCUCGGAGCCCCCUAGUGCAUGCCCCCUCUCCUCGCGCCCUGCCGAGGCCUCGGCCCUGCCUGCCGUGCCCUGGGCCUGGUUGUGCCCGGGGGUCCCCGCGGGCAGGGCGCGGGGCAGGCAGGGCGCGCGCGCCGACGCUCUUUUGUCUGAUAACUAAUUUGAGUUAAUGCGAUCUUUAUGUAAAGCUAACAGCGGAUAAUUGUCUAUUUUCUCGCCAACAGUCUCCAUCACAAUCACUUAUCUGGAAACCUGCGGUUGGAUUAAUCGUUAUAUUCCCGAGAUGAGCGUCGCUGCAAUCCGCAGCGAACGCGGGUAGGGACCUGGAGACGCCUCCCGGGCGCUGGCGGGGCCGGUGUGGGCCAGCUCCGCUACCGCCUGAGACGCGGUGUGCCCAGGUGUUGGUGCCCGCGGGAGAGGGCUGUGGGGCGCCUUCCCCAGGAUUUGCUUGACUUGCUUUUCGCUCGAGUGGGUGGUGCGCGGGUGCGGGAGGCGGAGGGAGGAGGAGGGGUGAGGGGAGGAGGGCCUGUGGGGCUGCGGACCCGGAGCAGCCUGGGUGGAGCGCGGCCUCGGGAGGCCCUGGGUGCAUCGCGGCGGGGCCUGGGGGGGCCCAGGCGCCGGAGGAGCCGUCGGUGCCGGAAUGCAGCGUGUUUCACUUGGGAGAAACGUUGCCCUCGGUCCCUUGCCUCCCUCCUGUUGUCUCGGUUUUUCUGGCUUCGUCCUUCGUCCCACCCACCCGUUCCCACCUCAGGUCCCUCCCCCAGGAUCCCCUCCUUAAGGAUCCAGGUCUCUGAAAAUUAUUGGCAACAGUUACACGCCCCACGAUUGAAAUCCACAAGAGAAGAGUCCCAGUUCUGCAGGCCGCUCCAGGGCUAGGGGUAGAGAUGGUGGCAGGUGGUGCGUCAACUCUCUAGGGAAGAGGAACUUGCAUUACAAAGACUUGUCUUUCUGAGCUGAAGUCAAAACGGGGGCGUCAAGCGCGCUCCGUUUGGCGGCGGUGGAGGGGCCGCGCGCCCGCGCUGUCCCAGCCGGAGCUGCCCUGGCUGGUGAUUGGAGGUUUAACGUCCGGAAUUCAGGCGCUUCUGCAGCUCAGAUUUGCCGGCCAAGGGGCCUCAGUUGCAACUUUUCAAAAUGGUGUUUCUGGAAAAUAACAAAUUCAGACUCAACUGGUGACAGCUUUUGGCUAUAGAGAAUGAAACUGCUUCCCUUUGGCGGUGGAACUCUUAAACUUCGAAGAGUGAAAGAAUACAAUGAAAUAAAAUGCCAUAAGAUCACUGGAUUUUUCAGAAAAAGGAAGACCCCAAAUUACUCCCAAAAUGAGGCUUUGUAAAUUCUUGUUAAAAAUCUUUAAAUCUCGAAUUUCCCCCUACAACAUCUGAUGAGUGCUUUAAGAGCAAACGAGCAAAUCCCACCUCGAGAAUCAACAAACCCAAGCUCUGGCCAAGGCUCUCCCCGCGUUUUCUUCUCGUGACCUGGGGAAUGUCCCGCCCCAUCGCUCACCUGGCUCUUGUCAUCUCGCUCAUCUUGAAGUGACCCGUGGACAAUGCUGCUCCCUGCCGCAGCUCC